rnacentral:rRNA from 1 species
ACGAACGCUGGCGGCGUGCUUAACACAUGCAAGUCGAACGAAAAGACGGAAGGAGCUUGCUCUUUUCAGAAUUGAGUGGCAAACGGGUGAGUAACACGUAAACAACCUGCCUUCAGGAUGGGGACAACAGACGGAAACGACUGCUAAUACCGAAUAAGUUCCAAGAGCCGCAUGGCCCAUGGAAGAAAAGGUGGCCUCUACCUGUAAGCUAUCGCCUGAGGAGGGGUUUGCGUCUGAUUAGCUGGUUGGAGGGGUAACGGCCCACCGAGGCGACGAUCAGUAGCCGGUCUGAGAGGAUGAACGGCCACACUGGAACUGAGACACGGUCCAGACUCCUACGGGAGGCAGCAGUGGGGAAUCUUCCGCAAUGGGCGAAAGCCUGACGGAGCAACGCCGCGUGAGUGAUGACGGCCUUCGGGUUGUAAAACUCUGUGAUCCGGGACGAAAAGGCAGAGUGCGAAGAACAAACUGCAUUGACGGUACCGGAAAAGCAAGCCACGGCUAACUACGUGCCAGCAGCCGCGGUAAUACGUAGGUGGCGAGCGUUGUCCGGAAUUAUUGGGCGUAAAGCGCGCGCAGGCGGCUUCCCAAGUCCCUCUUAAAAGUGCGGGGCUUAACCCCGUGAUGGGAAGGAAACUGGGAAGCUGGAGUAUCGGAGAGGAAAGUGGAAUUCCUAGUGUAGCGGUGAAAUGCGUAGAGAUUAGGAAGAACACCGGUGGCGAAGGCGACUUUCUGGACGAAAACUGACGCUGAGGCGCGAAAGCGUGGGGAGCAAA